UGAACGCUAGCGGCAGGCCUAACACAUGCAAGUCGAGGGGUAACAGGGAUUGCUUGCAAUCCGCUGACGACCGGCGCACGGGUGCGUAACGCGUAUAGAAUCUACCUUAUACUGAGGGAUAGCCUUUGGAAACGAAGAUUAAUACCUCAUGGUAUGUAAAGAUGGCAUCAUCCUUACAUUAAAGGUUACGGUAUAAGAUGACUAUGCGUUCUAUUAGCUAGAUGGUGUGGUAACGGCACACCAUGGCAACGAUAGAUAGGGGCCCUGAGAGGGGGAUCCCCCACACUGGUACUGAGACACGGACCAGACUCCUACGGGAGGCAGCAGUGAGGAAUAUUGGGCAAUGGAGGCAACUCUGACCCAGCCAUGCCGCGUGCAGGAAGACUGCCCUAUGGGUUGUAAACUGCUUUUAUACAGGAAGAAACAGCGCUACGUGUAGCGCCUUGACGGUACUGUAAGAAUAAGGAUCGGCUAACUCC
rnacentral:rRNA from 1 species